ACGUUAUGAAUUUUCCUUGUGCAUGUCAUGAACUUGUAGGAAUUGUUUAGAAAAGAGACAAACAUACUCUGCCAACGUUAAUGUUCCUGUUUUUUAUAUUUCAAUGAUAAGUCUCAACUUGAAAGAGUACAAAACCUUGGCAAUCAUGAAUCACCCAUGUGCUCUAUAGAUUUAAACGUGAGUUAUAUAGCCCUUCCCAUUGUAUUUUGGCUUAAAUUGAUAAAAAAAAUGCUCAUAUUUAUGUUUGUGUUAACCAAUUGGACAUGAUUUUACAUCAGUGGCAGUGCUUCAAACUCUAGCAUUAUAUUUUAAUACUUUUUCUAAUCGUUUUCUUAGAUUCCUCAUUUAAUAUAACUACACAGCAAUCAGGCAGGAUAGCACUUCGAUUCUAGACUUUUUAGAAUGCUCAAUAUUUCCUCAAAAAAUUACUUUUUAGUCUAGUAUUUAUAGGAAUAAAAUUAAUACGUUUCUUAAAAGUUUCUAAAAAGAAGACUGAGUUUUAUUUUUAGUAAUGAAAAGACAGAGCUAGGUAUCGGUAAGAAAAAAUGUAUUGGAUAAAGAAACGUGAAAGAAAAGAGUAAGGGCAACACUUACAAUAAUCUUAUAUUUUUCUACAAAUUUCUUCACUAACAAAUAACAAUAAAUAUUUCCCAUUUUAGAAAUAUCAACCUUAUUUAUUUAGGAGGUGCAUAUUACUUAUUAUUAUGUAGAUACGUAUGAGGAGGUGUAACAUAUACUAUAUAAUAUAUAAAAGAAAGGGUUAUCCUUUGUAACAUGGAUCUCAACCUUCAUUUUGACUACUGAAUAAUGAACGGGACUGCCAACAGACAUUCAAUCCCAUUCAGAAAUUAAAAUACGUUUAUGUCUACCUAGGUCUGUUAGUGGAGUUUAAUCGACAAGUUAAAAAUACAGUCUUCACUAUUUUAUCAUUAAAAAAAUCAUGUGAUUCAAGUGUUUUAUCAUGUGAUUCAAUAUAAUUUCGGUUCAUCCAGCUCCCUUAUUUUCUAGACAUAUUCUCCUAUACCUGCACACAGUUUCUUGGCAUCGAGUCUAUGUGGGAUGUCCAGGUAAUUGUCACUUCUAUUAUAACUGUCACUUAUAUUAUAAAUACCAAUCCUGCCUACAUGAUAAUGUUAAUGUUUAAAUUUGCCUUGUGCUAUUGCCUAGUCAAAUCUCAAACCUAACUGGACCAUACUUAAGCUGUGGCCAAAUGGAAAAUAUUGAAGUUAAUUUAGAAAUUAACUCCCUGUUCUCUUUGAGCUAUUGCUAUUAUGAAGUUUAUUGGUUUUUAGGUAGGGUAGGCAGAAGAGAGGAGAUAGGCUAGUGAAUAAUAUGAAUUGGUAUACCAAAUUAAAGCAAUAUCUUUUAUUAGUUCUGAUACUAGAUUUACAAUUCUAAUUGAAUAAGAAAAUUUCUGGCUAGGAGUUAUAAUGGAAAAAGAACUUUAACUUCUAUAACAUAUAGUGUAAAAACUUAGGAGACCUUAAAAAUUUGGAAAGAUGACCAACAAAUUGUAUUUGGGGCUGGUGUGAAUCAUGACCAAAUCCAAUCUCCUGAAGAAUGGCAGGAAGAGCGUCAUCAUCAAUCUAUCAAUCAGUACAAAGUCACUACUGAAAUGAUCAUUAGCUGAAAAAGAAGUUUGGGUAGUUUGAAUAUGAUCACAGGGAAAAGUAAUGAUAAUUUUCUUUUAUAUUAUAAUUAGAAUAUUACGUAUUCUCCAUUCAUGUUAACAUAUCUUGCAUUGUGCAAAAGAAUAACUUUGUUUCUUUAUUAAAUCAAUUUAUAUUAUUUUGCUUAUUAUAUAAUUGUAAAAAUAUAUACUUAACUACGCUUUAACUAGUUAUUUCUUUCUUGUAAAAAUAUAUAAUUGUAAAAAUCAAUUCUUUCUUGCUUAUUUUCCUUCAUGUACUUUGGGAUAUAGGCUGCAGAGCUACUCAAGAACUAAUAUCUUCAACCUUAUGUUCUUAAGGUCCAUCUCAAAAUCAAUUGCCCAAGGCGAAGUUCUUUGCCAGGUCUUUGGCAAGAAUCUAACUACAUGAAGAAAGCUAGAUUUUUGAAGUGAGAAGAUGAUCGUGUUUCUGUUUCUGGGUAUAAGUGGCAUUCUAUUAGCAAUGAUAGGACUUUAAAUCCCAAAUGUAUCAGGAGUGGAAAUAUUACUUGUAUUUCUAAUGUUUAGAAUUUAUAUAAUAAUAAUGGUUUAUAUUUAAUGUUUAUAUUUAAUUUUAG
rnacentral:lncRNA from 1 species